rfam:Burkholderia choica isolate LMG 22940 genome assembly, contig: contig000158
CCUGUUGUACGACCAGCAGUUGCCUACCCGGACGUGCGCGAUUGGCAACGAUCGGGUUCGAAGCUCCGGGGACAAAGUACCCUUCAGCAGACGGUUCGUCCUGGAGACAGAAGGAAUCGACACUGCCAGCAGCCGUGCGGUGUGGGGG